UACGGGGGGGCAAGCGUUGUUCGGAAUUACUGGGCGUAAAGGGCUCGUAGGCGGCCAACUAAGUCGGACGUGAAAUCCCCAGGCUCAACCUGGGAACUGCGUCGGAUACUGGAUGGCUUGAAUUCGGGAGAGGGAUGCAGAAUUCCAGGUGUAGCAGUGAAAUGCGUAGAUAUCGGGAGGAACACCAGUGGCGAAGGCGGCUUCCUGGCCUGUUCUUGACGCUGAGGCGGCGAA
rnacentral:rRNA from 1 species